CACAUGACAGGCAACAGGGCGCUGGGCAGGUACCUGUUAAAUGGUCUUCUGCCUACCCCUAGUCCUGGGUAUUGUUCUCCCUCUGUUGUACUCACCUCCUUCCCUUCCCGACUGUCACUCUCCCCUACCUCCCUCCCUCCCCUGCCCUUCCCCUCUGUUGCUCUCCUUGCCCUCCCCACUGUUAUAGCACGUGGACACGCACAUUUGUGCACGCUCGGAGGGUAACGUGGCCCUUGGGUUGUCUGGUCUGAAAAUCCCACAUGGUUGGAAAAAUCCCCUGCUGUGGCCAGCUAAGUGUUGGACCUAAAUUGGAUAAGGGAGGGGUUGUAAGUCCUUUGUCCCUAGUGCAGUGUGUCCUGGCAGAUUCCUGAUUUGGCCAGAAAGUGUCACUAUUGGUCCAUUUUUUUCAUAAAGCUGAGCUGCCAUGUGCUCAGUGUCAGUCUACUUCCUGGUUUCUCUCCAGUCCGGAGUGCUGGGACUGUAGACAAGAUGUAGGGGCCUAAGGAAUUGAGAGGCCAGUGGAGGGUUUGGGGUCCAGAUCCCCAAGCCUUGUGAGUUCAACCAUGGAGGGUUCAGAGUUCGGAGGCAGUGGAGAGAAUGUGACAGGAGCCUUUGGAUUGAUUCCAGUAAAGGGGUAUUUGUUGUGCUCGAAUUGCGUAUAGUGCUGGGAGCUGUGCCCUGAAAAAAUAAAGGUUUGUUGUAUUCUCACUGCAGAUAGAGCUGGGAGCUUUGCUCUGAAGAUUAAAGCAAACUUCAUGUGCUUGGAUUGAGAAUGUGGAGACACUGUGGAUGUCUGUACCAGCUCUGUGUGAGUCCCGGUGAGUCUGACUGAGGGAGGUAUUGAAACUCCAGCAUGUUCCAUGGAUGAAGACAGGUGUUGUCCGUGUGCCUGCUACGUGGGAGCAACUACUCUGUCCAACAGGAGAGUGGGGCCACCCAUCGGUGCAUCCCCGGAUCCCACUAGGUGGAGACACUGCCAUGGAGGGACAUUCCCUGUACCCUUUUUAUUUAGCAAAGGGGAUUCAGGACCUGUGUAUGGUUUUUGAUGUGCGUGUGCCAGUGGGUGCACUGAGUAUACAGCCUUAUUGCCAUGAUGGAGGAUGCCCAGAAUAACCAUUAUAAACAGAAUCUCCAUCCUGUUAUCCCAGUGUAAGAAUGCUUGUUGCAGUAGCCAUGCCCGCUGGAGGACUGUGUCUCUCACCCACAGGUCUUUUCUUACCCAUCAUCCCCUUUGGACUUAAAAUGCUGCAUAGUUAAAGUCCAGAAAGGCUUCAUCGAUCUCGCUUGCCAUCUCAGCAGGGGGUCCUUUGGGCUGGGUCAGAUUCGCAGACAGUUUGGUGAACUCCUCAUCGAAAUACCCCACAUCCUCCGGUCCAUUUAGGCUGGGCUUUUAAAUGGGGAUCACUGGCCCCAUCUAAAAAGCAAAAGCCUCCUCUACUGUCAUCUCUUCAGCCUGAGAAUCCUCUGGAAUGGGGCUGUAAUCGCCGGGGAGAGGACCCAUCGAUGUUUCAGAAGAGUCUUCUUCAUUCUCAGGAACUUCACUAUUGGGAAGAGGUCAUUGAGUGACAGUUACCCUUUAUAUCUGGUGGCAAGGACUCUAAUCGUCAGGCAUGAAACAACGACUUUAUAUUUCCAUCUGUCUUACCUCAGUAUGCCGGUGCCGGUGCAGGAUGUUGCACAGUUUGGCGCCCAUCUUGACGCUCCUGUAUCAGGAAAAAAAGGUAGAGAGUCCAGUGCUGUCCUGUCUGCUAAUAGGAUUGGCCAGGUCUUUUUAUACUAAACAUCUUCCAAUACCAAGUAGCAUCGCACAAAGCCAUGAAUGGUCCCAGCUUGAAGGCAUAUCUGAGGAAGGACAUUCGGAGAGAGAGAGCUCCAGGUCUGAACUACUCUUAUCUCCACUCUUAAAGGAGAACUAUAUCCCCAAAAUGAAUACUUGAGCAACAGAU